rnacentral:rRNA from 1 species
CCUACGGGUGGCAGCAGUGGGGAAUAUUGGACAAUGGGCGAAAGCCUGAUCCAGCCAUGCCGCGUGUGUGAAGAAGGCCUUCGGGUUGUAAAGCACUUUCAGUGGGGAAGAAAGCCUUGGGGCUAAUACCCUCGAGGAAGGACAUCACCCACAGAAGAAGCACCGGCUAACUCCGUGCCAGCAGCCGAGGUAAUACGGAGGGUGCGAGCGUUAAUCGGAAUUACUGGGCGUAAAGCGCGCGUAGGCGGUCUGAUAAGCCGGUUGUGAAAGCCCCGGGCUCAACCUGGGAACGGCAUCCGGAACUGUCAGGCUAGAGUGCAGGAGAGGAAGGUAGAAUUCCCGGUGUAGCGGUGAAAUGCGUAGAGAUCGGGAGGAAUACCAGUGGCGAAGGCGGCCUUCUGGACUGACACUGACGCUGAGGUGCGAAAGCGUGGGUAGCAAACAGGAUUAGAUACCCUAGUAGUC